rnacentral:lncRNA from 1 species
CCUCUCUCACUCCCCCAUUCACCAGAGACUCAUAGGAACCCUAGCUAAGCCGCCCCAAGUCCCCACCGUCUCCGGUGGCAGCGCCACCACAAACCACCCUCAGAUGAACACCAACGCCCCCUCAACUUCCCCAGUCCAAAUCUGCAAACAUCGGCCCUCGAAUCAUGGCCAAUCUCUUCAAACAUGGGAUUAAAACUCCGGCCAAAAACCCUACUUCUUCCAAAUCUGACCAAAAUUACACCCAAUAGUCUCCUAGACCUCCUCAUUCCGAAACCCAAGCAAAACCUUUCGAAUCCAAGCGAAACCCUGUUAAUUCUUGAUCUAGGAUUUAGAAGUUCAACCUGUUUUGGGGAUUUCAAGUGAUCGGUUGACUUUACAUUGAUGUUAUAUGCCUAUUUUGAAUGAAAUAAGCAUGUAACAUUAAUUGAAAAUCAAAUUGAGGUCAAUCUAGUUGAAGAACAAAACUAGUGAGCUCCUUGAUUUCUUUCUUUAUCUCUUCUUUUUUCUCUUUUUUUUUUGAGUUAAUUUCUCUUCCAUAAUUUAUUUCCAUGUUUAAGUGAUUGAGUCUGGUUUUAUCUGUUUAGGGUUAAUAAUUAGGGUUUCUCUUCUUUGCUCUCAUUUAUUUGUUUUGUUAUUCUCUAAGUUCUAAUAACCGACGACAUGAAUUAAUUCAUAUAGAUUUUGAAUAUUCGAUUGGAAGUCAAUAGGUUUUCUUCUCAUAUGAUUAAAUCUUCUUCUUCAUAUUUAAUUGAUUCUGAUUAGUUUUUGGUCAUUAUUUUAGUUUGAGUCUAUUAUGUUUUGACUGUUGCAUUUAAUUUCAAUUAGUGGAUCAUGAAUGUUAUUGUUAAAUUGAGCUUAGUCUAGGUGUUGAUUGAUUAGUUCAUUGUUCACCUUAGGUAGUAACUAGAAUAGAUUAGUUAGGAUGAUUUUAUUUGAUUUGUUUUGAUUUAGCUGAAUAUUCCUUUUCCUUUGAACAAUUGACCUCAAUUAAUAACUAGUGUGAAGGGGCUGGGUUCAGUUGACUCUAGUUUGGUAAAUUUCAGACUAGUAGAAAGGUAGUUUAGGGAAUUCCAUUUAGGAAAUCUAGCAAUAACUGAAAUAGAACUUCCUAGAAGCUUUUAAAUGAGGGUUCUAAGGUAAAUUCAAGAACAGUUGUAGUGACUUGAGUAAAAAGUCAGGAUACCAUGGAGUAACUAACUAAAAAGUAAAAAUAAAAGAGGGACUAAUAGUGUAAAUAAAAAAUCUGAGGGCUGCUUUCAUUUUGUCUAUAAAAAGGCAGUAAAUACUGCCUUGAAGAAGAAGUUUGGAGAUCUGAAAAAUUCCCUCCCACUUUUUCACAAGUUCCCAUCAGCUGAAAUUUUAAAUUCAAAAUCUAAUACAUUUUUAGAUCUUAGAUCUUCAAAAAAAAUAAAAAUAAUAAGCAACAAAAACUCUCUAGGAAACACUAUUCCAUUGACAUUCCAUAGUUUUGUUACUGUUACGAAUUCUAGCUUAAUUCAAAGAGUAAAAUGACUCAAAUGUUCCUGGUGUACUGAUUGUUGAACUUCAGGGGUCUGUUGGUUUUGAUUUCGAGUCGAUUUGGGUUCAAACCAGUGUGCUUUGGCUUCCUGUUAUUGUUACUUCGCUGCCACUCAUUCCUGGGUCUUGUGGUGCUAUGUCGGGUUUCAAUUUCCUUGUUGGUGCUGGUUGUGAGUGUUCUUUGUUGCUUGUUGUUGCUGACCUCCUUUUCUUCCUACUUUUGUUCGAAAUACAGGUAAUAUUUCAGCUUCAGCUGAUGUAUGAAGGACUGAAACAGUCAAUGUGUAUGUGGUUCAUGCUAACUUGACGUCAACUCGUUUGUAGUCAUACUAAUUUGAAUGUUAGAUACACAUUACCAAUAGUGGAGAUUUAGAUGAUUUGAACAUUUUAUAAUUUAUACUAAUUGGACUGUGUGAACUGUAUUUGUAUAAUCAAUUUCAGUUUUCGUUGUGUUAACUUGAGCAUUAGUUAAGAACAGGCUGAGAAUGAGCAUGACCUUUGAAUUUACCCAAAUAUGUGCAUAAUUCUCUAGGUUAGUCUUAAUUCUGGUAUUAUAUUUUUGGAAAUCAAAAAUAACAUGUUUAUACAGUAAAAAUAACAUGUUAAUAUGGUAGGUGUUGCGUCUAUUGUUCAACAAACUUUGGCUAUGCUAGUUUGAUCAUUGGGUUCACUAAUUAAUUGUAGGACUUCCUUUGUUUAGAUAUGAUCAGAAUGUAAGCUAGAAUUAAAUUGACGUUGUCGAAUUGAUUGAAUUUGAAAUGAUCUUCAGUUGUUACUUAAAUCUAUGAACCCAAUUGGUGCAAGCUCAACCAUGGAUAUUGGGCUGACCCAAGGGUCCCGGGCUUAAUAGCCGUUCGGUUGUAUCAGGGUUUUCGGUGUCACUGACGCUUGGGCCGAUUUUACUUCUAAUGUAUCUUCCAAAUUGCGCCUGCCAUGAGGCCCAAGGCUGGUUGGCCGCUCCUGAAGUGAAAAUUCUGGUUAUGUCUAUUGGGCCAGAUUUGAAAGCAAAUACAUUAAAGAUUCUUAUUCUUUUAAAUUGUGGAUUUAGUUUCAAAUAUAAGCUUUGGGCAUUUUAGUUUAGAUAUAAGCUUUGGACCUGUUAACUAAGAUUCUUUUAUAGAUAAUCCCUUAAUGAAUAAUCGUAGACCAUUUUUGAGAAUGCC